rnacentral:rRNA from 1 species
CUCCUUUGACGUUAGCGGCGGACGGGUGAGUAACACGUGGGUAACCUACCUAUAAGACUGGGAUAACUUCGGUAAACCGGAGCUAAUACCGGAUAAUAUUUCGAACCGCAUGGUUCGAUAGUGAAAGGUGGUUUUGCUAUCACUUGUAGAUGGACCCGCGCCGUAUUAGCUAGUUGGUAAGGUAACGGCUUACCAAGGCGACGAUACGUAGCCGACCUGAGGGGGUGAUCGGCCACACUGGAACUGAGACACGGUCCAGACUCCUACGGGAGGCAGCAGUA